GCCCGCAUAGCUCAGUGGUAGAGCAUUGUACUUAUGAGGAUAAUUUGAUUCACGCGAUAUGCAAGGGUCUCCAGUUCGAUCCUGGGUGGGGGCA
rnacentral:tRNA from 1 species